rnacentral:lncRNA from 1 species
CAAUGUUACACAACUAUGAAGUGGCAGAGCUGGAUUUUGAACCUGAGCUUAUCUGAGUUCAGAGUCCAUGCACGCAACUAACCAAUGGACUAUUUGCAAGUCAGGUCAUGGAAAGGCAUGAUAGCAUAGUGUGGCUCAAGGCACAGAGCAUAUGGAAAGCAGGAAUGACAGCUGUGGCUGAAUUACGGAGCAUCUUAUUGACUUGUAAGAGCUUCAGAAGAUGGCGGAGGAGUAGGACAGAGAGAACACUUUCUCCCCCACAAAUUCAUCAAAAGAGCAUUUAAACGUCGAGUAAAUUCCACAAAACAACUUCUGAAUGCCGGCAGAGGACAUCAGGCACCCAGAAAAGCAAUCCAACUCUUCGAAAGGAGGUAGGAAAAAUA